rnacentral:rRNA from 1 species
GAUCUUGAUUUACUUGGAUAACUGUGGUAAUUCUAGAGCUAAUACAUGCAGCUAACCUUCGACCUCUGGAAGGAGCGCAUUUAUUAGACCAAGACCAAUCAGGCUUUGCCUGGAAUCUGGUGACUCUGAAUAACUUCGCUGAUCACACAGUCUAGAACUGGUGACAUAUCUUUCAAGUGUCUGCCCUAUCAACUUUCGAUGGUAGUUUAUGUGCCUACCAUGGUGGUAACGGGUAACGGAAAAUAAGGGUUCGACUCCGGAGAGGGAGCCUGAAAAAUGGCUACCACAUCCAAGGAAGGCAGCAGGCGCGCAAAUUACCCAAUCUCAGUCCGAGGAGGGAGUGACGAAAAAUAACGAGACAGUUCUCUAUGAGGCCUGUCAUCGGAAUGGGUACAAUUUAAACCCUUUAACGAGGAUCUAUUGGAGGGCAAGUCUGGUGCCAGCAGCCGCGGUAAUUCCAGCUCCAAUAGCAUAUACCAAUUCUGUUGCUGUUAAAAAGCUCCUAGUUGGAUCGUAUUCUAUGGCCGAGUCUGUCUCAAUGACAUGUACUCU